GUGGGGAAUAUUGGACAAUGGGCGAAAGCCUGAUCCAGCCAUGCCGCGUGUGUGAAGAAGGUCUUCGGAUUGUAAAGCACUUUAAGUUGGGAGGAAGGGCAGUAAGUUAAUACCUUGCUGUUUUGACGUUACCGACAGAAUAAGCACCGGCUAACUUCGUGCCAGCAGCCGCGGUAAUACGAAGGGUGCAAGCGUUAAUCGGAAUUACUGGGCGUAAAGCGCGCGUAGGUGGUUUUGUAAGUUGGAGGUGAAAUCCCCGGGCUCAACCUGGGAACUGCCUCCAAAACUGCAUGACUAGAGUACGGUAGAGUGUAGUGGAAUUUCCUGUGUAGCGGUGAAAUGCGUAGAUAUAGGAAGGAACACCAGUGGCGAAGGCGACUACCUGGACUGAUACUGACACUGAGGUGCGAAAGCGUGGGGAGCAAACAGGAUUAGAAACCCCUGUAGUCC
rnacentral:rRNA from 1 species